AGUACCUCAGAUUCUCGCCCUUUUCUACAUUUUAUACACUUUAUACGCGUCGCACGGACUAAGUUAGCCCUCCUUAGACACACACACAAGCUGAGAGAGAUCAUAUUCGAGGAGAGGAGGGACACACUUGUACAACUGCAAUGACAACUGCAGCACCAGCACACCUGCUCACCUGACUCUGGGACACGUUGUUGCUCUGGCGAAGGGAGCCGUACCGCUUUAUAACGCCGGAGCCGGACAUGGAGCGGUUCAGAUCGUUCCUGGAGCUCACAUAGUCGGGAAGGUUGUGCAGGGAGCCCUGCGCACGAAGACAGAAUAGCAUUAGAUACUCCACUAAACGAACACCUCGAUUCGGCUAGCCCACCUGGUAGAGAGCAUCCGGGCGGUACAUGGUGCCACUGGCACUCCGCUCGCGGUGCGCAUCCCUCAGAGGAGUCAG